AGGUUCUGAGAGGCGGGCUAGUGGCUUGUACUAUAGCAUAGCCUGCCUUUGCUGGUGUGUGGCAAUUAGGCCUGGUGGAACUGCCAUCAAUAAAUCAAGCGUGAUCAGGGUGAGGAACAGGAAAGAAGGAAAUAUGGGGAAACGGGGUGAAUAUCAGGUGGAUCAGAGAGAUACAGUCAUGGGGGUCAUGUGUGGUAUCAGGAAUAAUGUGAGAGGCCAGAUUGAAGUCCACGCCAGGAACAAUGGUAAUUGUGGGAGACUCAACAAAGAGUGAGUAUAGCUGAAGGAGCCGGGAAGCAGAAAGUAUAUGCGUCAGGUAUGAGGAAGAAAAUAGAUUUUGGAAGUUAUGAGAACUGUAGAGAGUGAGUUGAGCAUAGUUUGUGAUUUUGAGGGCCUCUAAAAGUAUUAAAGCAGCGGCAGCCGCUGCACGCAGACACGAGGGGUAGGCUAAAACAGUAAGGUCAAGUUGUUUGCACAGAAAGGCUACAGGGUGCGGUCCUGGCUCUUGUGUAAGAAUUCUGACUGCACUAACUAUGCCUAGGAAGGAAAGGAGUUGUUGUUUUGUAAGAGAUUGAGGUUUGGGAGAUUAAUAGGACACGAUCAGCAGGGAAAGCACGUAUGUUUUUAUGAGAAUUAUGCCGAGAUAGGUAACAGAUGAGGAUGAAAUUUGGGCUUGACUGAAGUAAUGGGGGCUGUCUAUGAAGCCUUGUGGCAGUACAGCCUAGGUAAUUUGCUGAGCCUAAUAGGUGUCAGGGUCAGUCCAAGUGAAAGAAAAGAGAGGCUGGGACGAGGGGUGCAGGGGAAUAGUGAAAAAAGCAUCUUUAAGAUCAAGCACGGAAUAGUGAGUGGUGGAGGAAGGUAUUGAGGAUAGGAGAGUAUAUGGGUUGGGCACCACAGGGGGGAUAGGCAAAACAAUUUGGUUGAUAAGGCACAGAUCCUGAACUAACUUGUAAGGCUUGUCUGGUUUUAGGACAGGUAAAAUGGGGGAAUUGUAAGGAGAGUUUAUAGGCUUUAAAAGGCCAUGCUGUAGCAGGCGAGUGAUAACAGGUUUAAUCUUUUUAAAGCGUGCUGUGGGAUGGGAUAUUGGCAUUGAGUGGGGUAAGGGUGAUUAGGUUUUAAUGAGAUGGUAAGGGGUGCAUGAUUGGUAGCCAAGGAGGGAGUAGAGGUAUCUUAUACUUGUGGGUUAAGGUGGGGGGAUACAAGAGGAGGACGCAAAGGAGGCUUUGAAUUGGGAAGAAGGGUGGCAAUGAGAUACAGCUGUAGUCCAGGAAUAGUCAGGGAAGCAGAUAAUUUAGUUAAAGUGUCUCAGCCUAAUAAGGGAACUGGGCAGGUGGGGAUAAUGAAAAAGGAGUGCUUAAAAGAGUAUUGUCUAAGUUGGCACCAGAGUUGGGGAGUUUUAGGAGGUUUAGAAGCCUGGCCGUCAAUACCCACAACAGUUAUGGAGGCAAGGGAAACAGGUCCUUGAAAAGAAGAUAAUGUGGAGUGGGUAGCCUCCGUAUUGAUUAAGAAGGGGACGGGCUUACCUUCCACCGUGAGAGUUACCUGAAGCUCGGCGUCCGUGAUGGUCUAGGGGGCUUCCAAGGUGAUUGGGCAGUGUCAUCUUCAGCCGCUAAGCCGAGAAGAUCUGGGAAGGAGUCAGUCAGCCUUGGGCCAGAGUUCCAGGGGUUCUGGGAGUGGCUGUCAGAAUGCAGUGUACCAAGUGGCCUCCUUCAUUGCCUGCAUUUUGAAUGCAGUCAGGCUGCACAGUGGAAUGGAAAUCCCUGGCCAAGAUAUACCUCUUAAAAGAAAAUAAUCUCUUCCUCUGUGUGUAUGCCUGCGUCUACAUAUGUAUUGUGGGGACCAGAAUAUACCACCCCAAAAUAUAAAUGACUGUUGAACUGAAGGCAAUUAAGAAGAAGUAGGUACAGGAAAGAGCUCUCCUCUCCCUUUAUUUGCCUAAAAGUAGGACACAGGCUUAUAAGGACAAAAGGAAUCCUGCCCUGCCUUCUUCUCCUAUGGGAGAACAAAGGUUAACCACGGAAGACAACCUUGGGCACUGAUGACCCUGGAGAUGAUACCAGAGGCAUCUCCACGAGCAAGCUUCCCUAACUCGCCUUUAUUUACCAUUAUGUGUCUUCCUGCAAGCUGCUGCCCUGGAGAACCCAAGUCCUUUUCUUUGUCUUGUUACUUCCUUAAAAAUGUACUGUUCUUUGUUAAAAAUGCUAUACAAGCCAGAAUUCAAAGCCAUCCCUUUGAGGACUACUCAUUCCCUUGGCGUCUUUCAUGUACCUAUGAAAUAUACACAUUAAUAAACUUCCAUUUGUUUUUCUCUCAUUAAUCUGUCUUUUGCUACAAGAGUCCAUUCCAACUCUGAACUUAUGAGUGUUAAUUAUCUUUAUUCCCCCAGAGUUCAUAUGCGUGUGCGUUCGUAUGAAUACAAGUGAAACACUGUUUUUCCUCAUAUGAAACAUUAUUUUUUCUUCAACAUUUUGCAUUUUAUGUUAUCUAUCUUAAGCAUUCAAAUAGGAUCCCAAAGAGUAAGUUCAUUUUUUUAUAAUGUCAUAAAAAACUAGAGAGAUGAAGAGAGGGGCAAAGCAGAACUGCUCUCAAAAACCUGC
rnacentral:lncRNA from 1 species